rnacentral:lncRNA from 1 species
UGCUUCGGCUGCGUAUUUAUCCAUCACUCCCCAGUAACAUGGGUUGUUAUUGAUCUGAAGGAGGUCUGGUACAAGACAGUGGACAUAAUCAAUCUGCGUGUGGUAUUUAGGAGGUGUUUCCAACUGCAGGAUUUCAUCAUCCAAAUCCCAUUUGGGUUUGUUUCUUUUUCUGGAACUUGUGCAAAGUGUUAGAAUUUCAUCAUCGGAAUCCAUAUCACUAUCUUCUAUACUGUUAUUUGAAACCAGGUUCAUCACAGAGCCAGUCAUAGGACCUUCUCUACACAAAGCAUUGUCGGUGGUUAUGACACAGGGCUGAACAUUGGUAUGCGGAAGCCCUGAAGAGUGCCGACUACUACAAUUCUUUAUUGGAAAACACUGCCCCACGGCAUCUUGCAGUUUCUGUUUAAGAGAUCGGCCUAAAAAUCGAUGCCCACAGGAAUGAUCUAAGUCCAACUCAAUGGAUGAACAGCUGUGCUUCCUUUCUUGUAACUCUCACUCUUUUUUGACCAAGAUAACUUCUUUCCACUCCACACAUAACCGUCUUUUCUGUCGGCACUUCUGCUCCGACUAGUUUUGGGCCUUACAUCUACAUUUUUACUAAUAUUUUCAUGUUAUAAAUACUGCUUUUUCAUUUUUUCCAGCAGGAAGUUUCUUCUGGGCACUUUCUGGAUGUAUCUA